UACGGAGGGUGCAAGCGUUACCCGGAAUCACUGGGCGUAAAGGGCGUGUAGGCGGGCUGUUAAGUCUGACUUUAAAGACCAUGGCUCAACCAUGGGAGUGGGCUGGAUACUGGCAUUCUAGACGACUGGAGAGGCGAUUGGAAUUACUGGUGUAGCGGUGGAAUGCGUAGAUACCAGUAGGAACGUCAAUGGCGAAGGCAGGUCGCUGGGCAGUUUGUGACGCUGAGGCGCGAAAGUGUGGGGAGCAAACCGG
rnacentral:rRNA from 1 species